ACGCCACCCACCUCUCCCACUCAUCAGUGCCCUACCCGCGCCGCCGCCGCCGUCCCCGCCCUUGUCGCCGGAGGAACCCCUGGCCAAAGCCUCAAAUUUUGCAGCCGCCGCCGAAGCUGGCGUUCGCGUAGGAGGUUGCGCCAUCUCCUGGAUCCAUCCGGUGAGCCGCCGCCGUCUCCUUGUCGGGAUACUUUUGCAAGCCGCCGCCGCCCUCAGAUGUUGAUUUCACCCCCGAGCUUGAAGUUUCAGAACAUUCUGAAUGAGCUCCUCAAUUGGCGCAUUGGAGCUUCAUGUUGGGAUGAUGCAUAUGCACCUUUCAAGUUUCAGAGAACACUCUGAAUGAGCUCCUCAAUAAUCCAGCUCUUAGGAGUCUUAGGAGCCAGUCGUUUGCGUUUGGCAACAUGUGCUGCUGCAAACUGAAAAGGGAUUGGCACCAGUAAUUCACAGGAUAUGUAUUCAUUUUCGGUCAGUAUGAAGUGCAGAAUCCAUGAGUUCCCCUCACUGGUGUCAAUAGAACUAAAUAAACAUUGAUUAUUUUCUUUUCUUUGGUCUCUCGACCUGUUAUCCUGAAUUUUGCAUACAGUUCAUUCUGUUUGACCCUCU